GCGGCGGGCAGGGGCAGGAGCAGGAGCAAGGAGGUGGGGUGGCGACAGAGGCGUCCUCGCUGCUUGGGCAAGGCCACGGGGCAAGCCGGCGAGCGGGGCCAGCCGGCGAGCGGAGCAGGCGGGGCGCCGGCGCCGGAGUCGGUGCGAGCGGGGUGCUGGUAGGAUGUUGGGCUGUUGGAUAGGGUGUUGGGCUGGAGUUGGAUGCAAUUUUGGGUUCUUAUUUUUUAUAGUCCAGCCUGCAAAUAGAGUUUUAGGGGUUUAAUUUGAAGACUUGGGCUGGAGUUGC
rnacentral:lncRNA from 1 species